AGAGUUUGAUCCUGGCUCAGAUUGAACGCUGGCGGCAUGCUUUACACAUGCAAGUCGGACGGCAGCACAGAGAAGCUUGCUUCUUGGGUGGCGAGUGGCGAACGGGUGAGUAACAUAUCGGAACGUACCGAGCAGUGGGGGAUAACUAAUCGAAAGAUUAGCUAAUACCGCAUAUAUUCUGAGGAAGAAAGCAGGGGACCAUUUGGCCUUGCGCUGUUUGAGCGGCCGAUAUCUGAUUAGCUGGUUGGUGGGGUAAAGGCCUACCAAGGCGACGAUCAGUAGCGGGUCUGAGAGGAUGAUCCGCCACACUGGGA
rnacentral:rRNA from 1 species